GAUGAAGAACGCAGCAAAAUGCGAUAAGUAAUGCGAAUUGCAGAAUUCAGUGAGUCAUCGAAUCUUUGAACGCACAUUGCGCCCUGUGGUAUUCCGCAGGGCAUGCCUGUUCGAGCGUCAUUUCAACCCUCAAGCCUCGCUUGGUGUUGGGCCCUGCCCGCCGCGGCCGGCCCUAAAGAUAGUGGCGGCGCCGCCUGGCCCUCAGCGUAGUACAGCUCUCGCUCCAGGGUCCGGCGGCAGCCUGCCAGAACCCCCCAACUCUGUGGUUGACCUCGGAUCAGGUAGGGAUACCCGCUGAACUUAAGCAUAUCAAUAAGCGGAGGA
rnacentral:misc_RNA from 1 species